AGGCUCGAUUUUUCUUAAUAAGUCCGAAGAAAUUUUAAUCUUUCAGUUUCGACCACGUUUGGUCAUCGAAAAUUGUGCCGAACUGUAAUCUUAAUCAGAUAACUUUCGGAUUUUAUUUCUCACUCUACGGGUGUCAGAAUGACAUGAAACUUUAUAUCUAGCCUCAUAAAUAUAUUUCUGACAUAUCCUCCAAUUUUUAUAAUUUUCUGAGACUGUGCAUUUUCUGCUAAUUUUUCUAUCCCGUUUCCAACAGAAAAUUCUAGAUCUUCUGUUUUCAUCCCGAUUUCAGCACAAGUCACUUCUGACUUAUAUUUUACUUCUCUAAAUCCAAUAAAAAUAGUAUCUCACACUAUUUUUAUUUAUUUUUACUUUUAUAUUAAAGAUCCGACAUGUUACAUUCCACCGCAGCCUCACCGGAACCAUUUAAAUGGCUUUCCAAUCGAACGUACACCGUAACCUCAUGAUUUUCGAAGUCUGGUACCUUACAGUGU
rnacentral:lncRNA from 1 species